rnacentral:rRNA from 1 species
GGCCUUUUGAUUAUAAUUUAAGGUCUAACCUGCCCGAUGAGAAUUUGAAUGGCCGCGGUAUUUUGACCGUGCAAAGGUAGCAUAAUAAUUAGUUUUUUAAUUGAAAGCUGGAAUGAAUGGUUGAAUGAGGGAAUUACUGUCUCUUUCUAAAUGUUUAGAAUUUUAUUUUUAGGUAAAAAAGCCUAAAUUUUGUUGAUAGACGAGAAGACCCUUUAGAGUUUUAUAAAGUUUAUUUUCUCUUUAUAAAUAGAAUUAUUACAUGGGAAAUUUGAAUUUAUUUGAUUGGGGCGAUUGAAAAAUUAAUUAAACUUUUUUUUAUACUUACAUAAAUUAGUGAUUGAUUGAUCCAUUUUUUUUGAUUAUAAGAUAAAAUUACCUAAGGGAUAACAGCGUAAUUUUUCUUAAGAGUUCAAAUCUACAGAAUAGUUUGCGACCUCGAUGUUGGAUUAAAAUUAAGUUUUGGUGCAGAAGCUAAAAACUUAGGUCUGUUCGACCUUUAAAAUUU